rnacentral:rRNA from 1 species
GAUGAACGCUGGCGGCGUGCCUAAUACAUGCAAGUCGAGCGAACGGACGAGAAGCUUGCUUCUCUGAUGUUAGCGGCGGACGGGUGAGUAACACGUGGAUAACCUACCUAUAAGACUGGGAUAACUUCGGGAAACCGGAGCUAAUACCGGAUAAUAUUUUGAACCGCAUGGUUCAAAAGUGAAAGACGGUCUUGCUGUCACCUAUAGAUGGAUCCGCGCUGCAUUAGCUAGUUGGUAAGGUAACGGCUUACCAAGGCAACGAUGCAUAGCCGACCUGAGAGGGUGAUCGGCCACACUGGAACUGAGACACGGUCCAGACUCCUACGGGAGGCAGCAGUAGGGAAUCUUCCGCAAUGGGCGAAAGCCUGACGGAGCAACGCCGCGUGAGUGAUGAAGGUCUUCGGAUCGUAAAACUCUGUUAUUAGGGGAGAACAUAUGUGUAAGUAACUGUGCACAUCUUGACGGUACCUAAUCAGAAAGCCACGGCUAACUACGUG